UUAAGGUUUCCUGAGGAAGGCUCGUCCGCUCAGGGUUAGUCGGGACCUAAGCCGAGGCCGAAAGGCGUAGGCGAUGGACAACAGGUUGAUAUUCCUGUACCACCUCCUCACCAUUUGAGCAAUGGGGGGACGCAGGAGGAUAGGGUAAGCGCGGUAUUGGAUAUCCGCGUCCAAGCAGUUAGGCUGGGAAAUAGGCAAAUCCGUUUCCCAUAAGGCUGAGCUGUGAUGGCGAGCGAAAUAUAGUAGCGAAGUUCCUGAUUCCACACUGCCAAGAAAAGCCUCUAGCGAGGUGAGAGGUGCCCGUACCGCAAACCGACACAGGUAGGCGAGGAGAGAAUCCUAAGGUGAUCGAGAGAACUCUCGUUAAGGAACUCGGCAAAAUGACCCCGUAACUUCGGGAGAAGGGGUGCUCUGUUAGGGUGCAAGCCCGAGAGAGCCGCAGUGAAUAGGCCCAGGCGACUGUUUAGCAAAAACACAGGUCUCUGCGAAGCCGUAAGGCGAAGUAUAGGGGCUGACGCCUGCCCGGUGCUGGAAGGUUAAGAGGAGCGCUUAGCGUAAGCGAAGGUGCGAAUUGAAGCCCCAGUAAACGGCGGCCGUAACAAUAACGGUCCUAAGGUAGCGAAAUUCCUUGUCGGGUAAGUUCCGACCCGCACGAAAGGCGCAACGAUCUGGGCACUGUCUCAACGAGAGACUCGGUGAAAUUAUAGUACCUGUGAAGAUGCAGGUUACCCGCGACAGGACGGAAAGACCCCGUGGAGCUUUACUGCAGCCUGAUAUUGAAUGUUGGUACAGCUUGUACAGGAUAGGUAGGAGCCUUGGAAACCGGAGCGCCAGCUUCGGUGGAGGCAUCGGUGGGAUACUACCCUGGCUGUAUUGACCUUCUAACCCGCCGCCCUUAUCGGGCGGGGAGACAGUGUCAGGUGGGCAGUUUGACUGGGGCGGUCGCCUCCUAAAAGGUAACGGAGGCGCCCAAAGGUUCCCUCAGAAUGGUUGGAAAUCAUUCGCAGAGUGUAAAGGCACAAGGGAGCUUGACUGCGAGACCUACAAGUCGAGCAGGGACGAAAGUCGGGCUUAGUGAUCCGGUGGUUCCGCAUGGAAGGGCCAUCGCUCAACGGAUAAAAGCUACCCCGGGGAUAACAGGCUUACCUCCCCCAAGAGUCCACAUCGACGGGGAGGUUUGGCACCUCGAUGUCGGCUCAUCGCAUCCUGGGGCUGUAGUCGGUCCCAAGGGUUGGGCUGUUCGCCCAUUAAAGCGGUACGCGAGCUGGGUUCAGAACGUCGUGAGACAGUUCGGUCCCUAUCCGUCGCGGGCGCAGGAAAUUUGAGAGGAGCUGUCCUUAGUACGAGAGGGCCGGGAUGGACGCACCGCUGGUGUACCAGUUGUUUUGCCAAGGGCAACGCUGGGUAGCUAUGUGCGGACGGGAUAAGUGCUGAAAGCAUCUAAGCAUGAAGCCCCCCUCAAGAUGAGAUUUCCCAUUCCGCAAGGAAGUAAGAUCCCUGAAAGAUGAUCAGGUUGAUAGGUCUGAGGUGGAAGUGUGGCGACACAUGGAGCUGACAGAUACUAAUCGAUCG
rnacentral:rRNA from 1 species